AGUGCCCUGGAGGUUUUGCUGGUUCGACUGCUGUAUCCCAUGUGUGUCAGUAGGUGGCAGAGAAGAGAGAGGCUGUGUCUAUGCUGUCUUUUGACCUGUGAACAUCUGAAUGAUUAGUAGACUAACAUU